rnacentral:lncRNA from 1 species
GACUUACAAGGGUAUGGAAAUGGGCUCAAUAUUAAAUCGAGAAAAAUAUGAUUUUUAUAGCUUUCAAAUGGUUUCGAAUGUAUGAUGAAAUUAAAAGAAAGUAGAUCAACCAUGAGUAUAAUAAAAAUAUAAACAUAAAAUAAAAUGCUAAAAGAAAAAUAAAAUACUAAAAGAAAAAAUAAAAUGCUAAAAGAAUAAAAAAACUAAAAGAAAAAGAUGCUCAAUACAGGUAUCGAACCCACUACACUAAAGACCAUGAAAUCACCCCUCUCCACCAGACCACUCAUGACUAGUUGUUAUUUUGAUGCUAGACUGGAUAAAUAAACUAAAAUGGAUUAAAAAUUAGAAUUAAAAUAAAAAAACUAAUAAAAGAGAAAACUGUUGGACUACCAGUAACUGAACCCAGCCGCUUGGCUGUUGGGUUACCAAUGGGGAAUAAGUUGGAAAUAGAAAAAACAAUUAUUACCUAAUAUCCUAGGAAUUUUAAACUUUCAAAACUUAUUCUGUUAAAAAAAUAAAUUAAAGAAAAAAAAAUAAAAAGAUGGGAUAGUAACAGAGGCCUCAUGAAAUCGCCCUCUCUUUCACGUCCUCUCUUCUCUCAAUCACUACCAGCAAGCUCUCUCCCAACCUUC